UACGUAGGGGGCGAGCGUUGUCCGGAUUUAUUGGGCGUAAAGAGCUCGUAGGCGGCUUGGCAAGUCAGGGGUGAAAGCCCAGAGCUUAACUCUGGAAUUGCCUUUGAGACUGAGAGGCUUGAGUACGGGAGAGGUGAGUGGAAUUCCCAGUGUAGAGGUGAAAUUCGUAGAUAUUGGGAAGAACACCGGUGGCGAAGGCGGCUCACUGGCCCGUAACUGACGCUCAUGCACGACAGCGUGGGGAUCAAACAGG
rnacentral:rRNA from 1 species